UAAAAGUGAACUCGUAUGCAUUCGGAACGUUUGCCUGCGUUUGCCGCUAGGGGCGCUGUUCCAACUGCAAAAAAAUUUGAGCUA
rnacentral:pre_miRNA from 1 species